UACGUAGGGUGCGAGCGUUGUCCGGAAUUAUUGGGCGUAAAGAGCUCGUAGGCGGUUUGUCGCGUCGACUGUGAAAACCCGAGGCUUAACCUCGGGCCUGCAGUCGAUACGGGCAGACUAGAGUUCGGUAGGGGAGACUGGAAUUCCUGGUGUAGCGGUGAAAUGCGCAGAUAUCAGGAGGAACACCGGUGGCGAAGGCGGGUCUCUGGGCCAUUACUGACGCUGAGGAGCGAAAGCGUGGGGAGCGAACAGG
rnacentral:rRNA from 1 species